AAUGCAUCCAGUACAUCCACUGGCUGACGAGUCCGAGAUAAGACGAAAUGCAUG
rnacentral:hammerhead_ribozyme from 15 species